rnacentral:rRNA from 1 species
AUUGAACGCUAGCGGGAUGCUUUACACAUGCAAGUCGAACGAGUGGCGGACGGGUGAGUAAUAUAUCGGAAAGUGCCCAAUAGAGGGGGAUAACUACUGGAAAGAGUGGCUAAUACCGCAUACUAUUUGAGCGGCCGAGAUCGGAUUAGCUAGUUGGUGGGGUAAAGGCUCACCAAGGCAACGAUCCGUAGCUGGUGUGAGAGGACGACCAGCCACACUGUGACUGAGACACGGCCCAGACUCCUACGUGAGGCAGCAGUGGGGAAUUUUGCACAAUGGGGGAAACCCUGAUCCAGCCAUCCCGCGUGUAUGAGAAGGCCUUCGGGUUGUAAAGUACUUUUGGCAGAGAAGCGGUAUCCGCAGAAUAAGCACCGGCUAACUCCGUGCCAGCAGCCGCGGUAAUUC